rnacentral:lncRNA from 1 species
AUCACCAUUUAUUUUGGGCGUGACAAUUAAUUUGUGCAUGGCUUUUGGCAUGGAGGAGAUGGAUCACAUAUGAAACACUCCCAUAAAAUUCAAAUCAGCAACCUAUUUAAAUAUUGAUUCAAACCCAAUCACAUUAGGUCAAGGCAACAAACAAAGGAUUAGCACAAAAACAUUUGCACUGAAUCCAAUUGGAAACUUGGGUUAAUUCAUGUGCUAGCAAUUUAAUUAAC